rnacentral:lncRNA from 1 species
AUGAUCCCAUUCAUAUCAAAGUCUACAGAAAGCAAAUGGAAAUAUAAUGACAGGAAGAAAAUUGUCUGGGCACAGAGCAUAGAGAGAAUGCAGACGCAAACGAACGAAACCCUACAACUCACCCUCAGCAGAAAGAAGCAGUAUCCCCCCGGACAGAAUGCGAAUCAACAGUUCCCAGUUCCCAGGAUGCAGGAAUCAGUACGGUUUCACAAGGAUGAUUCGCCGUGCAUUCCAAUCAGGCCUGUGCGCUAUAGACAAGCGGUCUAUUUUUCAAGUCUCACUGCCUUCCAUUCCGGAGGAGGAAGUAGCAGCAGCUCAUGGAGAAGGCAUAAGAAAAGCACCGAGGAAUUGAACUGCCGAUUUAAUUUAAAACAACAAACUACUUGUUACAAAAACAUAAAGAACUGGAAGUAAGCGCUCAAUUUUUACCAUUUUGAAAUGAAAUUGAAAUAAGGAACCGAAAAUGGCUUUAUUAAA